rnacentral:lncRNA from 7 species
UCCAUCUGAUCCGUAAUGCGAUUUCCAGCCUGGUGAUCCUACGCUCCUGCCUGAAAUGACGCUGGUGCUUGUAGGAGGUGUUUUUCCCUGGACUGUGAGACUAGUGAGAUGCUGAAGCUGAACACGGAGCAGAUUUGCGGCUGAUUGCCCUGAUUGGAGCCUGGGAUGCGCUGUGUCCAAGCCAAGCAUCUGAGGGGUGCCAGCUCCAUUGCUGCCAGGGCUGGGAAAAGCACGGCCGUGCGUGGGGCUCCCUGUGGCCUCCUCAGUGGGACAGCCUUUCACUGCUGACACGUGUCUCAGAGGUGCUGUCACAGCAUUCAGACAUCAGCAUGAAGCUUGGGCAGCCUCAUCCAUAAGCUGUGGGCUCCUCAUGGGUGCUGCUGGCUAGGGGGGGAGGUUUCCCUCUUUUUGGGGCUGAUGGGAAGAGCAACUGAUGCUUGCAGUGGAAUUGGAAGAAAAUCAUGGUCCUGUGCACACAGGGGAUGGCCAGCUCUGUCACUAGAAACAUAAUCCCUCUUUUGGAACAAUGCUUCUGACAAGUGAAGUCAUCUUCAUUAUUAGUUUGGAUCAUGACAGAAGAAUAAACUUUCCAGAAGAUACUGCUUGUCCUUCACUUAUGUAAGUUAGGGAGGACUCUGGGCUCCCACUGAACAUUAAAAAUCUCCUCUUCUCUGUACUUUUCCAGCUUGUUUGAUAGAGGUAUUUUGGUAGAUUUAAUAAUAAUAAUAAAACUUUUAUUAAAAAAAGAAAAUCUUAAUUACACAAAUGCUUGGUGUGGACAGGAAGGCUCAUGUCAAAAGGUUUAAGCUUUGGGUUCAAUUUGGAUGAAUGCCUGAAAUUUAGUUCUGAACUAGUGGCAGCCUUUGAAUUUAUAAAUAUUAAUAUCCACCUGAGAUUCCAGUCCGAAGAAAAAGCAAGACUUUAUUCUGUUCAGGUUUCUGAUUUUCUGCUUGUCACCAUAGCAAAUGAGCCCUCUCCAGGCAAGCAGUGAGUGGUCUGACUAACAACCGUGUAGCGUUUAUCCUUCCUUCCCACUGGUUUUGGUGAGAACAGCAAAUGUCUAUCCAUUCAGGUCAAUGACUUUAAAAGGCAUUUGUUAUUUUUGAGGACAUUUGUGAAAUUCCAGCUUAUCUUUGGGAUUUGGCUGCUGCUGGCAUGGCGGUGUUAAUCGAAUGCAAGGCGUGAUUUCAGCAUCCAUUCACUUCCCUAAGUCAGAUGGGAAUGUCCAGCCAUAUCAAAGCAUUUAUCCAAAGCCAGUGCCCAGGAUUCAAAGUGCUCAGAUCAGAUGAAUUAGUCUGAAAACAGCUGAAGGCAUGACAUUAGGACAGGAAUAAUACAUCUGUUAUGAUAAAAUUAUGGGAAAAGCUGAUGUGUUUUAGAACUCUGAGUUUGUUUCCAUCUCAGUACAAAAACAUUAUAGGAUUUAGAACUGAUAUCAAAUGUAAGUGUAACACUGGAUUUUGGGCUGGAUGUGUGAUAAUGCCAGGAAACUCAAAGGGGAUCUUUUUCAUGAAUAAUUGUUAGAAUUCUAGGUAGAGGUAUCUGUGCCAUGUGCUGCAUAAACAGGUAUGUCCUUUCCAUCUGCUGCUCACUGUAUGCAUGUUUUUGUAUUUGCCAAUUGCUAUUCCAACUCAUAUACAAAUAUGUUGAAAUCUCUUAGUAAUAGGCUGUCAUUGUGGAUUUGGGAAUCUUCACCUUGUGUUGAGGUUGAAAAUAUCACCAGGACAGGGUGUUUGGUGCUAGUUUGAGAUUCCUGUUUGCAGUGUCAUGAAAGUCAAGGGAGACAAAAUGUUAUCUGAUUCCUUUAUGCAUUUGGUUUGGGCCUGAGUAAAGGACUGAUAGCAUUCAGCAAUAUUUUGUGCUGCAGGAACUUUACUUUCCUAUUCAAAAAGGUGGUCAGAAUUAGGAGCUGCUUCUCUUAACCACCCAUGAUUGAAUACUAUUAGUAUUUAAUACUGUAUUCAAUAUCAGAUAAUUGCUAACGUGUGCUAAACUACCGUCUUGACUUAUCCACAAGCAAUUAAUAAUAUUGAUCACCUUACAUUGACCUUGUGAGUUAAUAACUGUUUUUUUUCCUCUUGAUUUCCCUUGAUGAAUUGUGCUUUCUAAAUGCCAAUGUAUAGUUUUGUCAAGUUGUCAGUUUGCAGGGGCUGCAGACAUGAAAUGUACCUUAGUGCUUGCUGGUACGGCUACUUCUUUAGGAUCAAUAGCAAUACUUGUACCCAUGCUGAGGAAGAAAAUGUACUUUUUAAUAAAGUUUGACACAG